GAUGAACGCUAGCGGCAGGCCUAAUACAUGCAAGUCGAACGGUGUAGCAAUACACAGUGGCGCACGGGUGCGUAACACGUAUGCAACCUACCUUACAUUGGGGGGAUAGCCUUUCGAAAGGGAGAUUAAUACCGCAUAAGACAGUAACUAGGCAUCUAGUAGCUGUUAAAGAUUUAUCGAUGUAAGCUGGGCAUGCGUCCAAUUAGUUAGUUGGCGAGGUAAUGGCUCACCAAGACGAUGAUUGGUAGGGGAACUGAGAGGUCAAUCCCCCACACUGGCACUGAGAUACGGGCCAGACUCCUACGGGAGGCAGCAGUAGGGAAUAUUGGGCAAUGGGCGCAAGCCUGACCCAGCCAUGCCGCGUGCAGGAAGAAGGCGUUAUGCGUUGUAAACUGCUUUUAUACAGGAAGAAACGACCCUUGCGAGGGGCAUUGACGGUACUGUAUGAAUAAGCACCGGCUAACUCCGUGCCAGCAGCCGCGGU
rnacentral:rRNA from 1 species